ensembl:snRNA U6 U6 spliceosomal RNA
GUGCUUGCUCUGACAGAUUAUAUACUAAAAUUUGAACGCUAUAGUGAAGACUAGCAUGAUAGUUAUGCAAGGAUGACACACAACUUCAUGGAGUGGUCCAGAUUUUA